GCCCGGAUGGUGGAAAGGUAGACACAGGGGCCUUAAAAGCCCCUUUCCGUUUCGGAAGUGCCGGUUCGAGCCCGGCUCCGGGCA
rnacentral:tRNA from 1 species